rnacentral:rRNA from 1 species
UACGUAGGGUGCGAGCGUUGUCCGGAAUUAUUGGGCGUAAAGGGCUCGUAGGCGGUCUGUUGCGUCGGGAGUGAAAACUCAGGGCUUAACCCUGAGCCUGCUUCCGAUACGGGCAGACUAGAGGUAUGCAGGGGAGAACGGAAUUCCUGGUGUAGCGGUGAAAUGCGCCAGAUAUCAGGAGGAACACCGGUGGCGAAGGCGGUUCUCUGGGCAUUACCUGACGCUGAGGAGCGAAAGUGUGGGGAGCGAACAGG